CCUCCUGUGGCAAUGGUUUAAAAAAAAAAAAAAAUUAAUAGCUGUGACUAAAUUCAGAGCAGGGUCUAAUCCUAUCAGCAUGUGUUACCCCUGUGUACACCCACCAAAGGAAGCUUCACGAGGGAUGAAGGUGCCCCUCCGCUUGUACAAAAACAUUGGGAUUUGAGUUCUGGGGUGAGGCAGGGAGUGCACCAGAGCAGAGCCAAGGCAAAAAGCCUCCAAGGUCAGGCAAGGAGUCCUGCAGUGAGCUUGGAGGCAACUGUUCAGCAGCACGGAGCCACUCUGGAUCCCAAAGUCCACAUCCGGACAGCUUCAGAGCCUACAUCCUUUUUUUGGACUUGGCUCUUUGUCAAAACCAUAGGGUACAGUGCCUGCAUGGACUUCAAAGGGAGGACACCAAAUGUGAUUUGGCCCAGGCAGUUACGACCAUUUAUUGCCAGCAUCUUCCUCAGAUACUGCUGCCAAGGGUUAAAAUGUUUACAUGCCCCCUGAUUUUAAAUGGACCGGGUAGCAUGUCAAAUGCCAACGAGAGGGACAGCUGGAGUAUCUAAACCAAGAGCUUUGAUCUUGGUAUCUGUAAAAAAGAGGUCAUUUAGUCUCCCCAGGAAGCACAGACAUUUAGAAGGUCCCCGUACAACUCAUGCAAGUAUUUUAUUAACAACAAUUUCUAUUCACAUUUAGGCUGAAGGUUGUUCCUCCCAGAGGGAAAAAACAAAGUGCACCUCACUACCCACUGCCCCAGAUGCUGAGGCCGACCAUAAUUGAUCCUUCUGAAGCUGCCAGGAGCCCAGAGGGAACCACAGCCUGCAGGAGACACCCAAAACAAGGAACACAAACAGGGUUUGCCCUCUUCACUGCUCAAAGAGGGUCUGUGUCCCUGGCAAAGGAAUGUGGACAAAUGGAUGACCAGAAUUGCCCCCUGAAAGUAAUGGAAACUGUCCUGGAAUAUUGGAUUGGAACAGCUCUGUGAUGGUCAUGCCCAUUUUGAGACUCUCAUGUUAAUGCCACAAGAACUUCAGUCUGCUGUAUAAUAUUUCAGACAUGGAGGGGGGAAAUAAAAGAAGAAAUAAAGAAAAAGAAAAACCAGCCGUCUGCAUCCACUUAAACUACAUUACAAUAAAGCUCAGUAAAGAUCUGAUCAGCAGUUUUUUAGCCUGCUCUGGUUUAAUAUGAAAUAAAUUAGUGGAAAACCGAAA